UCACUUAGUAAUAUGCAUUUAAGGUUCCUCCAUGUCUUUUUUGUGGCUUGAUGGCUCAUUUCUUUUUGGCGCCAGGUAAUAUUCCCUUGUCUGGAUGGACCGCAGUUUGUUUAUCCGUCCACCUGCUGAAGGACAUUUUGGGUGCUUCCGUCCUGACCAUUUUUGCUCUUACGGGAAUCACAUGAUGUGGAAAAUGUAAAGCAGCCACAGUUCUAGGCAAGCGGUGGAGUCGGCAUGGAGAGCUGAGCAUGUCACACCGAUGGCCUCGCUGAGCGCUGCACGUUUGGUGGCACCCACUGUCCCUGUGAAGAACUGGUCUCUAGGCAGCACCCUCAAGACCCCACCCAGCUCUGACCGCAGCAUGGCGGGUCCCUGCCUCUGAGUGAAGUCUCCCCAGAUACACUUGCCCCCGUGCACAGUGAUGUCGACACAGCUCAUCCACGCCGCAUCCUUCAUACCCGAUGAGAGCGUGAGGCACAAAGCCCAUUGCCGACUGGGAACUUCACGCCAACGUGCAGUUCUCCGUGAGCCCCAAGAUAUCGCGUGAGAGACCACAGAAGCGACAACAGCAUGUGGCGUGCAGCCGUGUGAAAGGAAAGAGCAUGUAUGUGUGUGUCUGCAAGGGUUACUGGGGUGCUUGGGCCGCUGGCACCGUCCACGGGCACGUGUUUGCUCUCAGAAGCAGAGCCAGGCGCUGGGCUGGAGGGAGGACGUUCACCCCCAAACUCUUGGCAUCUUUCAAAUUCUGAGCCGUGCGCACAUGUGACCUAGUGAAAAUAAAUACCAUGCAAACUUUAAGAAAAUGUUAGCUGGGGAGGGAGUGUUCUUCUGGAGUGACAAAGUUUUGAGACUGGACAUGGCUGGUGGUGGCACAUCGUGAAUGUGCAAAUGUCAAGUCAUGUAUUUUGCAGUGACUCAGUGUGUGGUACGUGGAUGUCACCUCAAUGACAAAGUAGAGAAAUGUGAGCUGUUAUCACCGUGGUGGGGGUCUCGCCUGUAGUGGGCCCAUGACUGGCGUCUGCUGAAUGGAUGAACAAAAGCAAGGCCUCCUCAGGAAGGGUCUAGAAUGGGACACAAGGUGGGGCGGGGGCCACGAACAGGAUCUGUGCAUCCAGGAAGGGGCUGGAGGUCAGGGGCACCCCCGUGGCCGCCCCCUCAGUCUUCCUGCUGCCCUGGGGAUGGAGGGAGAUGUCAGGGGAGUGGGGAGGGUGCGCAGUGGGCAAACUGCCCAUUCAAAUAAACACGUCUGCA